rnacentral:rRNA from 1 species
CUCGGUGCCCAUGGCGCUGGGGAAACACCUGUUCCCAUUCCGAACACAGAAGUUAAGCCCAGCAGCGGCGAUUAUACUGCCUUUUAGUAGGCGGGAAACUAGCACGGUGCCGAAU